rnacentral:rRNA from 1 species
AGUGAACGCUGGCGGUAGGCCUAACACAUGCAAGUCGAACGGCAGCACAGUAAGAGCUUGCUCUUACGGGUGGCGAGUGGCGGACGGGUGAGGAAUACAUCGGAAUCUACUUUUUCGUGGGGGAUAACGUAGGGAAACUUACGCUAAUACCGCAUACGACCUACGGGUGAAAGCAGGGGAUCUUCGGACCUUACGCGAUUGAAUGAGCCGAUGUCGGAUUAGCUAGUUGGCGGGGUAAAGGCCCACCAAGGCGACGAUCCGUAGCUGGUCUGAGAGGAUGAUCAGCCACACUGGAACUGAGACACGGUCCAGACUCCUACGGGAGGCAGCAGUGGGGAAUAUUGGACAAGGGGCGAAAGCCUGAUCCAGCCAUACCGCGUGGGUGAAGAAGGCCUUCGGGUUGUAAAGCCCUUUUGUUGGGAAAGAAAAGCAGCAGGUUAAUACCCCGCUGUUCUGACGGUACCCAAAGAAUAAGCACCGGCUAACUUCGUG